rnacentral:lncRNA from 1 species
UAAGAAACAACAAAUAUAGAAAAUUUAUUAAUCUAUCCGAUAAAAUUAUAUGAUUUGUCUUGGGAGUCCUGGCUAGCUGGUAAAAUUAUAAGGAAUCUCAAAAUCAAUAAAUAAGACUUCCUAUUAACAAACAUUCCGGCUGCAAAAAUACCGUACAUUGGCAUUGGCCCCUUAUGUUUAAAAAAUAUUUCUAAAACAACCCAGCAAAGAAGAAAUCUUUAAAAUAAGCCGCCAUUGUAGAAAAAUGAUUUAUCUUUCUGUUCAGAUUAUAUGUUCAGCCUUAAGAGUUCUAGUAAUAUUAAACAGAAAUUUAAAACCGAAAACGAAAUUACAUACAUAUGUACAUAUAUUUUAUACCGUACACAUUGCACUCCCUACUUAUUGAAUUUUUAUACAUUGGCCCGGUUUCUUUAAACCUUAUUUCCCAAAAAAGCAAAUUAAAGGGGGUCCAGAACCAAGUGAAUCUACAUCAACAGAUUCAUUUGAUUCAUUCAGAUUUCUCUUUUUCAUUUCAGGUUCUUCAAAAUCUGUUGGUGUUGAUGUGCAAAAUUACUAAUAUUGAUGGGUGACUGGCUGCCUGUGUUCCCGAUUUAAGGGCAAAAGGCGUACAGAGAAGCUGCCAAUAUUUAAUUGAUUUAUCUUUUUCAUUUCAGGUUCUUCAGAAACUGCUAAAGGCGUUCAUCAAAUACAUGACCCUGGUCCGGUCACAUAUACACAUAUACGGUCACAAACUGCCAGAUUUUAAUUGACUUUUUCUUUUUCAUUUCAGGUUUUUCUGGAUCGGCUGGUGUUUAUAUGCAAAUUACUAUAUUUGAUGAAAUAAAUGGCUGCCUGUGUUCCCGAUUCAAUGGCAAAAGGCGUUCAUCAAAUACAUGACACUGGUCUGACCACAUAUACAUGGUAAUUUGCAUUUAUUAGCAGAUAAACUGCCAUAUUUUAAUUGAUUUUUCGUUUUCUUUUCAGGUUUACUAAAUUUGAUGAAAUAAAUGGCUGCCUAUGUUCCCGAUUUCAAGGGCAAAAGGCGUUCAUCAAAUACAUGACACUGGUCCGGCCACAUAUACAAGGUAAUUUGCAAUUAUUUACAGAUAAACUGCGAUAUUUUAAUUGAUUUUUCUUUUUCUUUUCGGGUUUGGUGGUGUUGGUGUGCAAAAUUACCGAUUAUGAUGAGUAAGUGGCUGCCUGUGUUCCCAAUUUCAAAGGCAAAGGGCGUUCAUCAAUACACAUGACACUGGUCCGGCCACAUAUAUAAGGUAAUUCGCAUUUAUUUACAGAGAAGCUGCCAAUAUUAAUUGACUUUUCUUUUUCUUUUCAGGUUCUUCAAAAUCGGCUGAUGUUGAUGUGUAAAAUUACUAGUACUGAUGAGUAAAUGGUUGCCUGUGUUCCCGAUUUAAGGGCAAUUGGCGUUCAUCAAUAUACGUGACACUGGUCCGGCCACGUAUACAAGGUAAUUUGCAUUUAUUAGCAGAAAAGCUGCCAAUAUUUAAUUGACUUUUCUUCUUUAUUUCAGGUUCUUCAGUAGCGGCUGGUGUUGAUGUGCAAAAAUUACUAAUAUUGAUGGGUGAAUGGCUGCCUGUGUUCCCGAUUUCAAGGGCACAAGGCGUUCAUCAAUAUACAUCAAUAUACAUGACACUGGUCCGGCCACAUAUAUAAGGUAAUUCGCAAAUAUUAGCAGAUAAGCUGCCAUGUUUUAAUUGAUUUUUCUUUUUCAUUUCAGUUUUUCUGGAUCGGCUGGUGUUUAGAUGAAAAAUUACUAAUACUGAUGAAUGAAUGACUGCAUGUGUUCCCAAUUUAAGGGAGAAAGGCGUUCAUCAAUAUUAUUUAAUAUACAUGAUCCUGGUCUGGUCACGUAUUUGGCCAUGGUAAUUUGCAAUUAUUAGCAGAUAAACUGCCAUAUUUAAUUGACUUUUCUUUUUCAUUUCAGGUUCUUCAGUAGCGGCUGGUGUUGAUGUGCGCUAGAGUGAAGAAGCUUCAUUGGCUGCUGAACAGCAACAGCAAACUAUGCCUGAAUGCUAAGGUACUCCUGUAUAAACAAGUCAUCGCACCCAUAUGGCAAUAUACUCUGCCUGUUUGGGGUCCCCUUGCCUCUAGCCUUGAAUUUGGUCGCCUGCAAACUGAGCAGAACAAAACGUUACGGACUAUCACUAAUGCCCCAUGGUAUGUUCGUAACGAUACCAUCCACCGGGACCUGGGCCUUGAGACGGUGGAUGAGGUUUAUGCAAAAGUUUGUAAGAGAUAUGUUGACCGAAUGAGAACGCACAAUAACCAGCAAGCAGCAGCAGUCAUCAACGACCCAUAUGUCCCCAUGUCCCCAUGUCCCCAUAUAUGUAGGCUAACCAGACCUCGAUAUUCCGAUUACUUGAACACACACCUACGUAAGGAAAUUGAGAGGCAGGAAUGGAAUCGUAUGGAAGUUGUACCCUAUCAGCGGCCAUACACGGAAAUGGAAUAGCUUUGGAGAGACAGGGCAGACGCGUCAAAUAGGAGAGCAAUGCGAGCCAUGGGAUAUGAAGGGUAGAGGAGCCACAACCCCCCCCUCAGAAAGAGGUAUCAGCACCACACAAAGUUAUUACAGUACGGAUAUUUUAGCUAGGGCAAGGGAACGCGCAAGAUCGGGGGUGAAUGCAGUCACCCAAGAGCAGCAGCCAACAACAGCAAUAUUAAAUACAUUUAUUGCUGCUGACGAAAUUGCGCAGUUCGAUAUUGUAGACCUGACUGUGGGACGUUACGGAUGAGUCACACAAAUGAACAAGAAUAGCUUCCGUUGGUCAAUCUGAACCUCAGGACGACACUGAGGCUGCCCAGGAUCAGGACGCCAGCACCAGAAACGCCGGACUCUGGUACACGGAUGACCAUGGAGAUACCGGAAUAUGAUUCUGCAUUGAAUAUUGUAUGCAAGUGCCAUUUUUGAAACCGAGGCCCGAAACGCGUCUGAAAACGAUGCUGCUGAAAGAUAAACUGAUCGCAGAUAAGCCGCAGCAACUCGCCUGCAGCUAUUUUUCUUUUCUCCCUUCUACACACACACAACCGAAACCAGUAGAAGAGAGACGACACCAGCAACAACGCUCUAGAUAUUCUGAUUGAGAUAAAUCGAGCGCACACCCACUCACAUGCCUAUACACAUAAAUUUCUCGCUGCCUCGGACCAGAAGGCAGCGAAAAUGUUAAAACAGAAGGAAGACAGAAACUUGAAAACAUAGCUAUAACAAAAAAUAUAAUUAACACAUAUAUGUAAAUAUUUUUCACCUCUUCCGCUGCACUGACAGAAAUCACUUUUUCUUCUAUUACCUAUAUAUAUUUAUCUCUAGAGUUUUAAGUCACUUAUCUCUAAUGAAUUCCCUAUUGCCCUCCCCCGAUCAGUGGACUGCUGUUGGGGUCGAGGUAUUGUUUAAAUUUUAAAUGAAUGCGCAGACAGAGAUGUCGGAAGAGGAGAUUCCCGCUGCCGUAAAGUGACGUAUGCGCUGCCUAUUACUGAAAAACUGCAGUCAACAGGCAGACUCAUACAAUAUUUUUAAGUAAAACAGCAGCCCCAUGAAAUUGUAAUAUUAUGCUAAGUAUAGUAUAAAUACAAUAAAAUCCACCUUAUCGUAACGUAUAAUGGCUCUCCUGAACCUGCUGGUUCAGGUCCAGGAUGGAGUUGGUUUACGUUACGAUUAGACACUCUCGUAUUGCCACCGCAGCAUACGACAAACAAAAAACAAAUUCCAAAUCGAGGAAUAAGACUUCCUUUCAACAAAAAGUUGUUAGUUUAUAUGUUUAGACAUUAUUUAAAAAAAAAAAAAAGAAAGAAAACCAAUUAUAUAAAAAACUGAUUUAUCAGUUGGACAUAACUUCCAUAUAUAUUUCUGAAGCCAGCAACUUGUUACAACUUAAUGCCUCGAAGUGCAAUGUUAUGACUUUUUAUCGCUCCAGCCCCUUCCUGGCUCCUUACACCCUCUGCGGUAGUUCUCUUGAGAGAAUUACAUUGGUUGAUGAUCUAGGUGUUAAACUAGACCCCAAGUUAAAGUUUUCUGAACACAUUUCUACCAUGGUAAAUAAAGCCAUGGGUGUGCUUGGGUUUAUAAAGAGGUGGUCAAAGGAAUUUGAGGACCCCUAUAUAACGAAGACUCUCUAUAUCUCGCUUGUUCGUCCGAUUUUAGAAUACGGCUCAUGUGUAUGGUGCCAUCAGUACAACAUACAUCAGGACCGUAUUGAAUCAGUACAGAAAAACUUUUUAUUAUUUGCCCUACGGGGCCUCAACUGGGAUGCAACUGUGAGACUGCCAUCCUACCGUAGUAGACUUCUUUUAAUAAAUCUUCCAUCCUUAGUUAGUCGUAGAAAAAUGCUUGGUGUAAUUUUUAUGCACAACUUGAAAAAGGGGGAUGUAGACAGCCCUGACUUGCUGAGCCGCAUAAACUUUACGAUUCCCAUUAGACCCACUAGAAACUUUAAUCGUUUGUUCCUUCCACUAUGUAGAUCGAAUUAUGCCUCACACGAACCCUUUAGGGUUUUAUGCUCGGAUUAUAAUUCCCUCUACCACAUUAUAUCCUCAACUAACUCCCUUCCUCUUCUUAAAUCUCUUAUACUAGCCUACCUCUCCCGUAGUUAGUUUCAUUUUAGUUUUGUCUUGUUUCUGAUUUUGGUAAUUUUUGCUUGCUUAGCUGUAGCUUAGCUUAGUCUAGUUAUGAUUAGCUCUAAUUUUCCUCGAAUAUUAGCCUAACAUCUAUCUUUCCUGCAUGCUCGCGACCGGUUCGGUUAAUCGCGCCGCGCGUCAUGCGGAGGGCUGCGUUCUGUUGGGUUCCGCGCGUAACAGGCUUUGGCUUGGUGUCGCAUGGGCCACUUGAUGGUGCAGUCAUUGCAUAUCAACGUCCAGAAUAUAUUUCCUGCAAAACCAAUUAAAAGAGGGUCCAUAAAACUGUUCAGCCUUUAGAAUCCUGGGAAGCCAGUAAUAUUAAACACAAAUUCAAAAUCGAG